UGGGGAAUAUUGCACAAUGGGCGCAAGCCUGAUGCAGCCAUGCCGCGUGUAUGAAGAAGGCCUUCGGGUUGUAAAGUACUUUCAGCGGGGAGGAAGGUGUUGUGGUUAAUAACCACAGCAAUUGACGUUACCCGCAGAAGAAGCACCGGCUAACUCCGUGCCAGCAGCCGCGGUAAUACGGAGGGUGCAAGCGUUAAUCGGAAUUACUGGGCGUAAAGCGCACGCAGGCGGUCUGUCAAGUCGGAUGUGAAAUCCCCGGGCUCAACCUGGGAACUGCAUCCGAAACUGGCAGGCUUGAGUCUUGUAGAGGGGGGUAGAAUUCCAGGUGUAGCGGUGAAAUGCGUAGAGAUCUGGAGGAAUACCGGUGGCGAAGGCGGCCCCCUGGACAAAGACUGACGCUCAGAUGCGAAAGCGUGGGGAGCAAACA
rnacentral:rRNA from 1 species